rnacentral:rRNA from 1 species
AGAGUUUGAUCCUGGCUCAGGAUGAACGCUGGCGGCGUGCCUAACACAUGCAAGUCGAACGGAGCUGCUUUGAUGAAGUUUUCGGAUGGAUUUAAAACAGCUUAGUGGCGGACGGGUGAGUAACGCGUGGGUAACCUGCCUCACACUGGGGGAUAACAGUUAGAAAUAGCUGCUAAUACCGCAUAAGCGCACAGUUCCGCAUGGAACAGUGUGAAAAACUCCGGUGGUGUGAGAUGGACCCGCGUCUGAUUAGCCAGUUGGCGGGGUAACGGCCCACCAAAGCGACGAUCAGUAGCCGACCUGAGAGGGUGACCGGCCACAUUGGGACUGAGACACGGCCCAAACUCCUACGGGAGGCAGCAGUGGGGAAUAUUGCACAAUGGGGGAAACCCUGAUGCAGCGACGCCGCGUGAGUGAAGAAGUAUUUCGGUAUGUAAAGCUCUAUCAGCAGGGAAGAAAGUGACGGUACCUGACUAAGAAGCCCCGGCUAACUACGUGCCAGCAGCCGCGGUAAUACGUAGGGGGCAAGCGUUAUCCGGAUUUACUGGGUGUAAAGGGAGCGUAGACGGAGUGGCAAGUCUGAUGUGAAAACCCGGGGCUCAACCCCGGGACUGCAUUGGAAACUGUUUAUCUGGAGUGCCGGAGAGGUAAGCGGAAUUCCUAGUGUAGCGGUGAAAUGCGUAGAUAUUAGGAGGAACACCAGUGGCGAAGGCGGCUUACUGGACGGUAACUGACGUUGAGGCUCGAAAGCGUGGGGAGCAAACAGGAUUAGAUACCCUGGUAGUCCACGCC